rnacentral:rRNA from 1 species
UUUAUGGAGAGUUUGAUCCUGGCUCAGGAUGAACGCUGGCGGCGUGCCUAAUACAUGCAAGUCGAGCGAACGGACGAGAAGCUUGCUUCUCUGAUGUUAGCGGCGGACGGGUGAGUAACACGUGGAUAACCUACCUAUAAGACUGGGAUAACUUCGGGAAACCGGAGCUAAUACCGGAUAAUAUUUUGAACCGCAUGGUUCAAAAGUGAAAGACGGUCUUGCUGUCACUUAUAGAUGGAUCCGCGCUGCAUUAGCUAGUUGGUAAGAUAACGGCUUACCAAGGCAACGAUGCAUAGCCGACCUGAGAGGGUGAUCGGCCACACUGGAACUGAGACACGGUCCAGACUCCUACGGGAGGCAGCAGUAGGGAAUCUUCCGCAAUGGGCGAAAGCCUGACGGAGCAACGCCGCGUGAGUGAUGAAGGUCUUCGGAUCGUAAAACUCUGUUAUUAGGGAAGAACAUAUGUGUAAGUAA